rnacentral:ncRNA from 2 species
GGCACACGCUAGGGGUCCUGUUGUCGCAAAUGCGACACGGGUGAGAAAUACCCUCCGAACCUGAUCUGGAUAAUGCCAGCGAAGGGAAGCAGUCAGAACACGGC